rnacentral:tRNA from 1 species
GCGCCUGUGGUGGAACUGGUAGACACGCUGGCUUGAGGGGUCAGUGACCACGAGGUCAUGGAGGUUCAAAUCCUCUCGGGCGCA